rnacentral:rRNA from 1 species
CUGCGCCACGAGUGGCAAUCAGUAUUAUUGGGCCUAAAGCGUCCGUAGCAGGUCACGUAAAUCUCUUGUGAAAUUGAUGAGCUCAACUCAUCACCGUGCAAGAGACACUGCAUGACUUGGGACCGGGAGGAGUCAGAGGUAUUCCAUGGGGAGCGGUAAAAUGCUAUAAUCCAUGGAGGACCACCUAUGGCGAAGGCAUCUGACCAGAACGGAUCCGACUGUGAGGGACGAAAGCCAGGGGAGCAAACCGGAUUAGAUACCCGAGUAGUCC